UAUAGACUGCUGGUUAGACACCUCAUCUCGAAACUAAAGGCCCCUUACUUUACAGUUAGAUUAACAAUAAUCUGUUCUUCGAUCGGUGGAAAAUCCAAGUUGGUCACCCAAUUUCCAAAUAUUGGUACAACAAACAAAAGCUAGACAGGUGCAGUUACAACAAAAGCCCACAAAAGAAGGAACGAAAAUCUUCCUAAA